AUCCAGUUGACGAGUCCGAAAUAGAACGAAACGCAUGUCAAACUGGAU
rfam:Schistosoma mansoni, Puerto Rico, WGS project CABG01000000 data, contig: 0167